AUUGAACGCUGGCGGCAGGCCUAACACAUGCAAGUCGAACGGAGUGGCGGACGGGUGAGUAAUGUCUGGGAAACUGCCCGAUGGAGGGGGAUAACUACUGGAAACGGUAGCUAAUACCGCAUACUAUCGGAUGAGCCUAUGUCGGAUUAGCUAGUUGGUGGGGUAAAGGCCUACCAAGGCGACGAUCCGUAACUGGUCUGAGAGGAUGAUCAGUCACACUGGGACUGAGACACGGUCCAGACUCCUACGGGAGGCAGCAGUGGGGAAUAUUGCACAAUGGGCGAAAGCCUGAUCCAGCCAUGCCGCGUGUGUGAAGAAGGUCCUCGGAUUGUAAAGCACUUUCAGUUGGGAGGCGUUACCAACAGAAGAAGCACCGGCUAACUCCGUGCCAGCAGCCGCGGUAAUUC
rnacentral:rRNA from 1 species